AUUGAACGCUGGCGGCAGGCUUAACACAUGCAAGUCGAACGAGUGGCGGACGGGUGAGUAAUGUCUGGGAAACUGCCCGAUGGAGGGGGAUAACUAAUGGAAAAGGUAGCUAAUACCGCAUACCAUCGGAUGUGCCCAUAUGGGAUUAGCUAGUAGGUGGGGUAAAGGCUCACCAAGGCGAAGAUCCCUAGCUGGUCUGCGAGGACGACCGGCCACACUGGGACUGAGACACGGUCCAGACUCCUACGGGAGGCAGCAGUGGGGAAUAUUGCACAAUGGGUGAAAGCCUGAUGCAGCCAUGCCGCGUGUAUGAAGAAGGCCUUCGGGUUGUAAAGUACUGUCAGCGGGGAGGCGUUACCCGCAGAAGAAGCACCGGCUAACUCCGUGCCAGCAGCCGCGGUAAUUC
rnacentral:rRNA from 1 species